UCUUCGUCGAAUUCAAAAUCACCGUCGAAUUUUCGUUUGCAUUUCGCUCCAGUGACAAGUACGAGGAGUACCGUUGCCAGAAAUGCCCAAGAAAAUCUCAUGGUUUGUUUCUUCUUUUUCUUCUACUUAUUUCCUACUUUCUUUCUUCCUUCCUUCCUUUCUUCUUUCCUUACUUUCUUCCUUAUUGACAGAAAAAGAAGACAAACAAUCCCUUCAAAAAACAACACUUUACCACGACGAUACGCGUAACGAACAAACGAGUCAACGAAUUAAAUAAUGAAAUAAAACGUUUUAAUAAUUGUCUUAAUUAAACGUUAAAUAUGUUCACCAAUAAUAAUGCAAGUUGUCGCAACAAUGCAACGCGCGGUUUAAAAGAAAAUCCGUAUAUUCACUUCGGUACCGUUAAACACGCGAUAAACAGAAACGUUCCGUUCGGCGGUCGAAGGAAUUGUGACUGCGCCUGUCGGAACGACAACGACGCCACCGCGUCGACCGUGCUACGACGGCAACGACCGCUCCUAUUGGUCAAUUUACUGAGCCGCCGUGGGGAUCGAGUGAAGUGGGGAUAGAGAGAAGAACUACACUGUGCCGUGGCCCGCUGCACAUUAGUUCUAUCCUUGUCGGAUUGAUAGCAACUUGCGUCCUUGCAUUUUUCUCUCUCUCUCUCUCUCCCACUCCCCCUCGCUCCGCCCUCUCAUUCUCUUUCUCUCUUUAUUCCCUCUAUAUCUUUCUCUUUCUCUCUCUCAUUUCUAUCUCACAUUUCUCUCUUUUUCUCUCUCCCACGUUCUUCGUUCCAAAAGAGAAUGAAGAGAAACGCGCGAGCGCGCUCGGGGUCUACCUCGCGCGGUAGUCAAUACCUACACCUGCUCGAUUUACCUGAGGGAAAGGAGGAGAGAAGCAGCAGCAGCAGCAGCAGCUCGAGAGAUGAUCGGUACCAGAUCAACGUGUAACCAUCAUCAUCAGCAGACAAAUAUGAUACAGACAAUGAAGUAGAUAGAAGAAUUUUCUUUAGAGUGAUAGGUGAUCAUGAGCGGAGUACAACGACGUAUGGCUCAAGGACAUGCAAGUUCACGCAAGGUCAUUCAAGGCAGCAUUGCAUCAAUGCUAACAGCUAUAAUUUCGAAUAUUUACUGCAAAUUGAAGCCUCAUUAAUAAUAGCAAUUCAAAAGCUAUCAUUAUUAUUUAGCUUACAAAUAUUGACCUUCUAUAUUGUAACGAAUAAUAAAAAUAUGUAAGUGCUAACAGUUAA